UCAAGUAGAAGAAGGCUCCAAGGAGCCAAACCCUAGUUCCUCAAAUAACAUCAAAUUGAAGGGCUAUUUAGGGCUCAAAUUCAGGAAGGAACUUGAAUUAACGGUCACCUACACAAGGAGAUCAUAAGGAACCAUGUCAACAUGGACACGAGCACGAAAGGACAAUGGGUCAAGGGCAAUUACGGGAGCUAUGCAUGAACUCGGACGCACGAGGUUGUACGAAUCACAGAUUAUCAUCACGAGGAGUAGCGAUCAAGUCAAGAGCAAGGAUUGUACGGAAAGUGCGGUCACAUAGUUAAAAUUUUGUAUUGCCUUGAAGUCUUAAAUUGAGUUCUAACGUUGUGAUUUCUUUUUAUAAAACGUUUGACAAUUUGUAACUCGAACCUUCAUGUAAGUAAUGUCGUUACCAAAGAAAUAAAUUUUA